ACGGCACGAAGCAUACUCAAAACUCGGAGGAUUUGAAGAUUUAAAAUAACGAAUAUCUUGUGCUAGCUUAAAGUCUCUUAAGUCAUUUAAACCUCAACAACAAAGCACUCAAUAUAUAAAACAAUGGAAAAAGAGUGUUGAGGAAAUACUUCAGCAACGAGGAAAAAAAAGGAGGCACGCUGUGUAAAGACAAUACAAACACAGUCAUUACAUUUGCAUAGCCAACAAAAAGGGGAGUGCUACCAAACGAAGAGGAAAACAGCCGCGCAGUACCAGAAAGAAUAUCGACAGAGACAAAGGGAGAAGAAAAAACAAGAAUCAGAAGGAUUGACCUCGGUUUAUCAGGAAACGGAUAUUUCUGCGGCUCAGUGUGUGAUGGAAAAUGGUAUAACACUAGUCAUGGCGGUCAUCUACGUUUCGCCAAAUCAGAAAAUGCAGGACAUUCAAGAGUUCAUUCACAAAGUUCUGCUAGAAUACACAGAAGAAGGUUCUCGUGUACUUCAAAGAUAUAAUAAAGAUUAUUCUAAACUGCCAUUAAUUUUGGCAGGAGAUUUCAACGUCAACUUUGCUGACAAACAAUCCGAACCACUCACCCAAUUCCUGGGUGAAGAAUUCAAUUUAAAAAUGAAUAAUGACCCAACAAUAUCCACAACAAAAUAUAAUACAUCAAUUGAUGCAGUUUUUUCAAGAUACUUGGACAAAAUUGAAUCUAAAACAUUCGUAUCCUACUUUAGUUACCAUAAGACACUGAUUUCUGUUAUUGAAUGAUCUAAUUUAAGUAAUGUAAUAGAAAUCCGAAAUAAAAAAUUAUUAAUAGAAUAA